GUAUUCGGGUUCCGGGGGGGAGUAUGGUCGCAAGGCCGAAACUUAAAGGAAUUGACGGAAGGGCACCACCAGGAGUGGAAUCUGCGGCUUAAUUUGACCCAACGCGGGAAAACUCACCAGGUCAGGACACGGUAAGGAUUGACGGACUGAAGGCUCUUUCUCGAUUCCGUGGAAAGUGGUGCAUGGCCGUUUUUGGUUGGUGGAUCGAUCCGUCUGGUUAAUUCCGUUAACGAACGAGACCUCGGCACUCCGAAUAGCGCGGCGGACGUCGCGGCCUCCGGGCCGUCUUCCGCACGAGCUUCUUAGAGGGACCGUCCCCCGCCGGGGAAGGAGGUGCGAGGCAACGACAGGUCUGUGAUGCCCUUAGAUGUUCUGGGCCGCACGCGCAUUACACUGACGCGUCCAACGGGUGACUCCCGACCCGAAGGGGCCGGGGAAUCCGCAAGGCGCGUCGUGAUGGGGAUUGAACGUUGCAAUUGUUGUUCACGAACGAGGAAUUCCUAGUAGGCGCGGGUCAUCAACCCGCGCCGAUUACGUCCUG
rnacentral:rRNA from 1 species